rnacentral:rRNA from 1 species
UACCUGCAGCUCGAGUGGUAACCGCUAUUAUUGGGCCUAAAGCGUCCGUAGUCGGUUUGGUAAAUAUCUGGGUAAAUCGUGAGGCUUAACUUCACGAAUUUCGGAUAGACUGCCAGACUUGGGAUCGGGGGAGGUCAGAGGUACUCCAGGGGUAGCGGUGAAAUGUUGUAAUCCUUGGAGGACCACCGGUAGCGAAGGCGUCUGACUAGAACGAGUCCGACGGUGAGGGACGAAGCCCUGGGGCGCAAACCGGAUUAGAUACCCGGGUAGUCCAGGGUGUAAACGAUGUGGGCUUUGUAUUGGAGGUCCCACGUGGGCGUCCAGUGCAGAAGAGAAGUUGUUAAGCCCACCGCCUGGGAAGUACGGUCGCAAGGCUGAAACUUAAAGGAAUUGGCGGGGGAGCACAGCAACGGGAGGAGCGUGCGGUUU